UAAAAUUUUUAAAAAUUAAAUUCUAAAAAUAUUAGAAAUGGAUAUGUUUGUUGUAAUUUCCAAACAGUACCUUCUCCCUUAGAAACCUAAGCAUUAGAAUUAGCAAAUCAGCAUGAUUUGAAAAUAAUAUUUGAAAUAAGUGUAACAUAUUGAGAUCAGUGUAAUAAUAAUUAGAAAAUAUGAUAGGAAAAUUAUCCCAUUUACCACAACACUGGCAACUAUGAUACCUUGGAAUAAUCUAAAAUGAAAAAAACUUUAUGAAGAAAAAACACAGCUUUUCUAAAGGAAUAAAAAAUAGAUAACCCAUGUUCAUGAUAGAAGAAUUACUACUUUUAAGAGGCCAUAUAUUGAAAGCAAUACUGAUAAAAUUGCUACCGUUUAAAAAAUAGAAUGUAAAAAGAUGAUUAUCUGGUUUAUAUUCAUCUGUACAAGAGUAGUCAAGACAAUCUUGCAGAAACAAAAAGGCAGAGGAAGGGGUAGACCUGCCCUGUGAAUUAUGAAAACAAAGUUAAAUUUUAUCAUUGAGACCAGCAGCAUCAGUGCAUGAAUAGACAAUAGAGGAUCAAGAAACAGACCUAUGUAUAUUUUGAAAUUUGGUAUACAAUAGGUGACAUUUCAAAUCAGAAUGGAGAAAUGAUGCUUCAGUAAGUGAUCUUGGAAGGACUGGCUAUCCACAUGGAAUGAAGCAGAUCCUUUCCUCAUACUGUGCACAAAAAUAAGUUUUUUAUGUGUGAAGGAUCUAAGCUUUUUUUUUUAAGUUAUAGGGAAAAAAUUAGAAAAGAGUAGGCUUUUAAAGCAGGAUUAAAUAAUACAAAAGCAAAACUUAUAGCAAAAUAAUUAGUCUAUAUAAAGAUUUAAAUCUUUUGUACAAGUGACACCAUAACCAAAAUUAAGACAUGCUGUUGACAGCAACCCCUAAAUUGAGCAAAGAGGAAACAUAAUUUGCAGAAGAAACCAAAUCCUAAAGUACAGGAUAAAGUGCUCAAAAUCAUUAGUAAUCACAACAAAAUAAAACAGUAAUGACCUAUCACUUUGUACUAUUAGGCUGGCCAAUAAAAAGAAAGAAAGCUGGAUGAUGCCGAGUGUUUGCAGACGCAUAGAGAUAUGCGACCCAAUGAUGGAAGCUGCCUCUACCUGGCUCACAUCUGAACGUCUUUGGCCAAUCCAAGCUUUCCAGAUUCCAAACAACGUCCUUACCAACCGUAGAUCUCACGAGCAACUUCCGACCUGCUGAGUUCUAGGAUCAAGGAGAGCAGCUUGUGCCACAGUUGGGAUCUUCUCUGGACCCUUGGGAAUUUGGCAGCCUCUGGGGUUAUCCAAUAAAUGAAUCAGAGUAUUCCCAACUUUGGUACUUGUUUCCUCCAAAUUCAAAUUCCAAAGAGACCCACAAUGUAUUAUUUUCAUUGUUUUUAUUUAAGUGGAGAGACAUUUCAAGUGCAGCAGCUUGCCCAUCACCUGUGAAGAAACAUCCUGACCUGACCUUGAUCUACCCAGUGCCUGGGAAUAGCCAUAAGCUCCUUUGAGAAAUGGUUGCAGGAAUAUUUACUGUGUACAUUUGCGUGGAGUUACAGGAGUGUUACUAAAGGGGGACUGACCUUCCACUUCAUGUACUCUGAGUGUAUAGAUUUAGAGCUGAGCCCUGGGUGUGGGACCCUGAUUUUCCAUUAAGGUAGCAAACGGCUAAUGAUUUAUUUAUUUUGUUUGCUUGUUUAUGUAAAUAAAUUAUCAUCCUAGAGAACUGUGGUAUCAGCCACCACCUGAGAUCCCUGCAGAUCAAACCAUCUUGAUUGCCACUCCAACUUUGCCUGUCCUUAGUCUGCUGAGAUGGCUUUAGGUAUUUUUGCUUAAGUAAAAGUCAUGAAUCAAAGGUGAGUGCCCGGGUCAAUAAAUGAUCUCUCUGCUCUUAAAUUCUACAUUCGCUUAUCUAACACUGUGUAAAAGGAUCCACUUUUACACAGACUCCCCAGGCCCUAUUGUUAGGCAGCUCCUGUAAUACCUUUUCUUAUAUAGGCAUUUUUUUCUCAUAGGAGGACUUUUUAUUUCUCUCCCCAGGCUGUGCUGGUACCUGACUCUUGGUAUCAACACAGAGACAAUGAGGAGUUGGGGGAAUGGAGGGGCAGGUAGGUCCUGAGAAGGACAAACAUCAUCAUUUAAGGCAUCCACUUCAGUUUCAAGCAAGCUAAUAAUACCUCAACACAGGUGCUCUCUCACUGCUUUCGUGAAGAUAUGAGGCUCAAACCACACAAGUCUCUGCCCAUGCUCUGGAACCUUCCUCCAGCCCCACUCCCAUAAAACUCCAAGCCAGUCUCCUUUCCUUGAUCUUCUAAGUCAUUUUUUGGGCCUGCUUGGCAAGCAUUCUGCUCUCCCCAGAAAGCCUCCUUAUGUGAAUAAGUGAGUAAGAAGUCUUUUCUUAAUUUGGGGUGCCUGGGUGGCUCAGUUGGUUCAGCAUCUGA